CGAUAGGCCCACCAUGGGGACUCUCUGGUACGCUCGUCAGAAGAGGUGGGCCCACGUACAGUCUCGUCGGGCCUAUCCUGAUUUUGUGGCUGAGUUUGAUCGGUUGACACCUGAAGACGUCGUGUGGGAGCCCUACUCCGAGUUGGCUAUAAACACUCGUGCACCGAUCGGGAUAUCUUUGGUUUGCUUUCAAGACCAGGCCUUAUGGAUGACAACUACAGCGUUGGUGUACGACGUUUACAUUGAGGCUCACUGCCCGGACAGAGUCAGGAGAUAGUUCGGUCAAAGGCAGUUGUAUCCUGUGCCGUCAGCAUUGGAUCGGGUCGAACGCCAUGACCACAGUUUAUCGACGACUGGGCAACCCUUCUCCAACAUGUGGGUGACAAGGGUGCAGCCUUGGGUCGAUGGCUGGGACCAGGCAGAGGAGAACGUGGCGCUUGCGACCCCUGCACACACGGAGGCUUCGUACAGGGCGUACCUGAGCUGGUACCAGCCUCAGAC